rnacentral:rRNA from 11 species
CUUGGGAAAAGGGCUUGGAGCUCUGAGGCUUCCGGCGCGAGGCUUUGAUUCCUACCAAGCGCGAGUCAUCGGCUCGUGCUGCCCUUUGUACACACUGCCCGUCGCUCCUACCGAUCGAGUGAUCCGGUAGAAUAAUUCGGACUGAUGCUGUGCUUCUGGGCGUUGCAUUGGAAUGUUUAGUGAACCUUACCACACCACUUAUAGGAAGGAGAAG